GACGGACCCCGCACAAGCGGUGGAUCAUGUUGUUUAAUUCGAUGAUACGCGAAGAACCUUACCAGGUCUUGACAUCCCCCCGCGAUGCUUUAGAGAUAAAGCGGAGGUAUUCGGGGAGACAGGUGGUGCAUGGUUGUCGUCAGCUCGUGUCGUGAGAUGUUGGGUUAAGUCCCGUAACGAGCGCAACCCUUGUCCUUAGUUACCAGCACGUUAUGGUGGGCACUCUAAGGAGACUGCCGGUGACAAACCGGAGGAAGGUGGGGAUGACGUCAAGUCAUCAUGGCCCUUACGGCCUGGGCUACACACGUGCUACAAUGGUCGGUACAAAGGGCUGCCAAGCCGCGAGGUGGAGCUAAUCCCAUAAAACCGAUCGUAGUCCGGAUCGCAGUCUGCAACUCGACUGCGUGAAGUCGGAAUCGCUAGUAAUCGUGAAUCAGAAUGUCACGGUGAAUACGUUCCCGGGCCUU
rnacentral:rRNA from 1 species